rnacentral:lncRNA from 1 species
GAUAUGCAAAUAUGAAAAAAACUUUAUUUAAGGCAAAGUUAUUGAUAAUACAUUUGUAAAUCUUUCGAAUCCCACAACUGCGGAAGGUCUGCCUCCCGUCGGGGUCCUUCGGAGAUGGAGUUGAUGAUCCCAAUUGGGGGCUGAUCUUCAGGCUGGUCCUCCCUCAUUGGUGGCUCUGGUUGUGGCAGGAUCCUUGGCUGAUCUUUCCUACCUUC